rnacentral:lncRNA from 1 species
AAGUAAUGAAAAGGGCAUUAAAAAGGGACCAGAAAAAUACGCAGAUACAGGUGGUCCCUGUGCGGUUUUGCAGUCCGUUCAGUGGCGUGGAUGAUUGCUCACGGGGUGUUCAUGCGGAUGCGGAGGGGCAGUGGUUUUGGAAAGAGCCAGAGGCUGUUUACUCUCCAUUACCAGUGAAAGCUAGCAUAAGCAAGCAGCCGCUUCCCAUCGAUUACCACGAAGGCAGCCGCCAGACCGGCAAUGUCACACCAGGGUACAGUUCUUUGGCCUGGAUAUUUGAGUAGAGCCUGCAAGCACUAUCCUGCCUUGGAAGAAUCCAGAUUUAUACUCUCUUGGAGCCAGAGAGAAAGGAGCAGAAUGGAAAAAGGUGACUGAUCAGCGUGACCCCUCCCCCACCACAGCUGUCCCACAUGGUGACCCAGGUAAAUGCUGCUAAUCUCUUCCUCCACUAUCUUUCUCAGGGACUUGGCAGCUCCUUUUGUAACUUGGACAGCAUCGAUGUCCUAAGUAACAGAAGUUUUUCUCAGCUCUGGGAGAAACUUGCAGAUGUUUGAUGACUGUGGGGAUAUCACAGAAAAAUCAUUAAACUUUCCAGCAUGGCUGGGCCAAAUAUUAAUAAUCUGUCAGCCAGGAAUCUCAGUGAGCAGGAAGGAGAGAUGAGUUGGGGGUGGAGUGAGAGGCUGAGAGAGAGCACUUCAGGAGCUGGGUAGAAUGAGGCGUAGAAGGCAAGGGAGGAGGAAGGAAUGAUGAGAAGAUAGCCGAGUGGGAAGAGAAGCAGAUGAAUUGGAGAGGAAUGUGAAAGAAAUGAAAGAAGUGUAUGAAAAAUGAAGGGGGUUGGGAGAGAAUGCAAGAUAGAUGUGAAAAUUCUUUGAAUAGAAUAAGGUUCUGGACACGUGCAGUAGUGUUACAGGUAGGCGUACAGAGGUAUGGGAGAGGGGACGGCAGAAAGAGUGGAGAAAGAAGAAAAACAAGGAUGGACGUGGAGAUAGACUGGGAACAGACAGGCAGAGGCAGACAUACGCAGACAAAAAUGAAAUGAAUAUUCCAGGGCCAAAGGAAACCAAGGACUACAGAUAUUGUGACAUCAACAGAAGGCAGAGACUGCAAGACAAAAGACAACUUAAGCCAUUUUCUGGUCUGUUAAGUCACCCGCGGCACCACAAUGUGCUGGGAAAUGAUGUCCGCCUGUGAUCAUUGUUUACUUAGAAAGCCGGCUGACAUGAGAAGACAUUAACACAAUAGGAUGGAAAAUUGCUAAUAAAACAAAAAUCCCUGCCGUUAGGUUUUCA